GUGCUUGCUUUGGCAGAAUAUGUACUAAAAUUGGAACAACACAGAGACAAUUAGCAUGGCCCCUGUGAAAGGAUGAUGCACAAAUUCAUGAAGCGUUCAAUAUUGUU